rnacentral:rRNA from 1 species
CGAACGGGUGAGUAACGCGUGAGGAACCUGCCUCAAAGAGGGGGACAACAGUUGGAAACGACUGCUAAUACCGCAUAAGCCCACGGCUCGGCAUCGAGCAGAGGGAAAAGGAGCAAUCCGCUUUGAGAUGGCCUCGCGUCCGAUAGCUAGUUGGUGAGGUAACGGCCCACCAAGGCGACGAUCGGUAGCCGGACUGAGAGGUUGAACGGCCACAUUGGGACUGAGACACGGCCCAG